UGUCCCGCCCGGUGCGCCUCUUUUCGUUCCUUCCCCAGGGGUUGGGCCGCCAGCGCUCUCCAGCGGCGGCCACGCGGGACCUGGGCACCAUUCUGCGCCUGGGCACCAGUCUGCGCGGGAGUCGGCGAGGACCUCCGGGCUGUCGGCGCAAGUUGUGGACCUAGGGGUGCGCGGCGGCGGCUGGGCCCUUCCUCCGCUAGCGGUAUUCUGGCCGGGGAGAAAGUAGCCGUGACUUUCCACUUGGCGAGCCGUCUCUCCCGAUUCCUCCCUGUGGUUCUCCGGGAGCCAGUAACUCCAACAGGGCAAAAUGUACCCUCGGGUGACCGGCUGUUAGAAAGAAGUGCCACAGUGCGCCAGACUUCCACUCAACGACUUCUGUCCUACAUAUUUAGGCAGAAAUAUGACUCAAAGCAUUGGGUUCCCGUUUUGUUGCUUAACCCAGAGGGUACACAUUCCACGGCUGCUUCUCUUGUGUGUGACCUACCAACCUGUUAUCUGCUCCUUAUUACAACUUUGCUCUGAAGGAAGUGCCAGCCUUUUGCACCUUUUCAGUAACAAGUCAAACCAGGAGCAGGGCUAUUGUGAAGCUGAAGCUAGAUUAGCCUCGUCUCUCGACUUUUGGACCCUCUCCUCUGAAAACCUUAUAGCUGUGUUGCCAAUUGAUCCUGCUAAAGAAAAUUAUGUUCGUAAAGUGAAAAAUUGUAUUUUUUCGAUUGCCUUGCCUACUCCUUUUAAAUCAAGAGUACAUCUUGUAGCAGUUUCAAAGGAAGUUUUAGAAGACAUUUUGGACCUUGAUUUGUCUGUCUCAGAAACAGAGGAUUUUAUCCAGCUUGUAAGUGGUGAAAAGAUAGUAUUUGGAUCCAUCCCACUGGCUCACAGAUAUGGUGGCCACCAGUUUGGGAUAUGGGCAGAUCAGCUUGGGGAUGGAAGAGCCCACCUUAUUGGAGUUUACAUGAAUAGGCACGGUGAGAAGUGGGAGCUUCAAUUAAAAGGCUCAGGAAAGACCCCAUAUUCCCGAAAUGGCGAUGGCAGAGCUGUGCUUCGCUCCUCGGUGAGAGAGUUUUUGUGCAGUGAGGCGAUGCACUAUCUUGGAAUUCCAAGCAGCAGAGCUGCCAGUCUGGUUGUGAGUGAUGAUGAAGUAUGGAGAGACCAAUUCUACAAUGGAAACAUUGUGAGAGAACGAGGUGCAGUAGUACUGCGUGUUGCAAAAUCAUGGUUUAGAAUCGGAUCAUUAGAAAUUUUGGCUCAUUAUGGUGAACUGGAUUUACUAAGGACAUUAUUAGAUUUCAUCAUACGGGAACACUUCCCCUCAGUAGAUGUCAAAGAACCUAAUAGAUAUGUGAGAUUUUUUUCCAUUGUGGUAUCCAAGACGGCACAACUUAUUGCCUUGUGGAUGUCUGUUGGUUUUGCUCACGGUGUUUGUAAUACUGAUAACUUCAGUUUGUUAUCCAUUACAAUCGACUAUGGUCCAUUUGGUUUUAUGGAGGCCUAUAACCCAGAUUUUGUACCUAACACAUCUGAUGAUGAAAGAAGAUAUAAAAUAGGAAACCAGGCCAAUAUUGGGAUGUUUAAUUUAAAUAAGUUGUUACAAGCUAUAAACCCAUUACUGGAUCCUGGGCAAAAGCAGCUCGCUGCUCAGAUUCUUGAGGGGUAUCCUGUUCUUUAUUAUAGAAGAUUUAGAGAAUUGUUCAAAGCCAAAUUGGGAUUACUUGGAGAAACAAAGGGUGAUGAUGAUUUAAUUGCAUUGCUCUUACACCUUAUGGAAGAGACAGAAGCUGAUUUUACGAUGACAUUUCGACAGCUCAGUGAGAUUACUCAAAGCCAGUUACAGGAGCUCAGCAUUCCUCAGCAAUUCUGGGCACUGAAGAUGAUUUCAAAGCAUAAACUCUUUCCUGUCUGGGUGUCUCAGUACCUCUUGAGACUGAAGAGUAAUAUGAAUGAUUCAGAUUCCAAAAGAAGAGAAAGAAUGACAACUGCCAACCCUAGAUACGUGCUGAAGAACUGGAUGGCGGAGUCUGCAGUGCAGAAAGCAGAGAGCAAUGACUUUUCAGAGUUAGGUGACCAGAGCAAAAACAUGUGGAUCCCAUGCAGUUGAUGCCUCCCAGCCAGUGACCUUGCUGGUGCCCGUGGUAUGUUUCUCCAGGGCUCUGGCUCAACUGUGUAAGGAAGAGGGGACCAGAAAAGAGGAAGGGGAGGAGGUAGGCAGAAAGGGAUUCCCGAUUCCCAGAGAAAAGGAGCCAGCUAAAGCUGGGGAGGCAUCAGACAGAAGGUACCCGCGCUUACUGCCUCCAGUCCACUCGAGUGAUUCCACAGCAUGUUCUCCCCAGAUGUGGCUAGUGCCAGCCCUCAGCCUCGGUCCUUGUUCUGAGCUACCCUCCGUGGUUCUGAGGCCCAGGGGAUCACUUGCCUGUGAGGGAAGCCCACUCUGCAGGCCAGUGACUGAGGGAGGCAGUUGUUGGGUAAAGAGGGGGGUUCCCUGACUAGUGCUCCAAACAGGGUGAGGUUCAAGUAAGUGCAGUCAGCUAGUGAGUCCUCUGACCCUUGGGAACAUUUUUAAAACACUAUUCUUGAAGUUCACCUUCACAGCUUUUCGUGGGAGGAGGGGGUGUUGGAAGGAGCACAUAGUUGAUUUGUACUAGGCCCUUUGGAUUGACAUGAGUCCCUAAAACAUUCUCUGAGGGCCCUACUGAUUUUGUGUGAUGAGUUGAGGUGAAGAAAGAGGCUUCGAUAACAGUGUUUGGCAAGAACUGAACUUUAAAAGACGGUGUCAUUUCAAACAGGUCUUUGGUGCUGAGAUGCAAUCACGGUCAUCAUGUGUGCAUAUGUGUGUGUCUACUGAGAAGAAUGAACUUCACCUUCUAUUUGAAAGUGGCUUUACUUCCUUCUAAACUCAUCUUCAGUUUCUUCCAUGCUGGUCAGUAAUGUAGAACUUAAAGCCCUAUACAGCCAGCAUUGAUGGCAAUCAAUUGUAAGAAUAAGCUAGAAAAUUUAAAUUCUAAGAAUAAGAGAAAGUUUAAAUUGAGGACUUUUUCCUGUUUAGAUGCUCACAGAAGCAUUGUAUUAAUAAGCAGGAUGGCUCCCAGUAUGGUUUAUUUUUGAAAUCUCAGCUAUAUUCUCGGAUUCUAUAGCAGCACCGACAUGGGUCAAUUUACCAUCAACUAAAGGAUAUUCCAUUGUGUACAAGAUCCACCUUUUAAAUCAAUGGAAAUCUCAUCUGAGUGAUACAAUCAUAUUCUUCAGAAAUUGGUUUUAAGAAAUCAUCUAGAAGGAACGGAACUACCAUCAGUGUGCGUUUAGUAUUAGUGACAACAACUACGUUAGUUUACUUAAUCUUCAGAGACACUCUAUAAGGGAUACAUCAUUUGUGGUCCCAGCCAUCUUCGAAUUCCAGCUGAGCAUUUAUUACCUGCAAGGCAUUGCACUCGGUGCUGGGGAAACCACUAUGUACAGUACAUAAUGGUCUCUGACCUCAUGAUUUCCAUCAGAAUCUAAGUGAAUAAUCAAUCACAAAGGACAAUUUGAGACCUGAGGAAUGUAGGGAUAUAGCGUCUGUAAAAUCUCUGAACAAGGCUGGUGCUGGGGGCUUUGCAGAACUGGGAAAAAGCAAAUGGUACAUGUGGUAUGAACAGGAAGAGAAGAGUGGAGAAAGAGGUGAGAGAGAUGGCAAACCCAUAUUAUGCAGCUAAAGAUUUUAGACUUUAUCUCAGAGCUGCCUUUGUUAGGAGGUAAGAGUGGCCUCGGCCAGGAUGGGUGCGCAUGCAGCAAGUUGUUGGGUUUCGUGGUGGGAAGUAAAAAGAGGCCUCUUUUGAUGGUUCCAUUUUCUCUGAUGAGAGUAAAGGAGUUGCAGGUUGGAAGUGUGAGGAGUGUGAAGAACAUGUAAAACAUUUAGGGAAACUAGAAGAUUUUGUUGACCGGAGCAUGUCUCUUCAACGUCACUGACAUUUGGGACUAGAAAAUUCUUUGUGUGUGAGUUGUCUUAGGCCUUGUAGGACAGGCAGCAUCCCUGCCCUCCACCCAUUAGAUGACACUAGCAUCCCCCAAGAGUGGUAGCCGAAAUGUCCUCAGACAUUGCCAAUGUUCUCUGGGGGUCAGAGCCCAGAGAAACCGCCUAGAGAAGCAUAGUAAGAUGGGCAGGCAGUGUUAGCGCCCAUUUGUGGCUGAUGUCCACAAGUCUGUGGUGGACUCAGUGUCUAUCGCAUGCGGAGCCCUCUAGGAGGAAAGGCUGUCUCAGGCCCUGUCCCCACCCAGAGACGUCUUGCUCCUCCUGCCCCCGUGUUCUCACCCUCUGCAUUUACUAGGUUAACAGUGGGCAGCAACUCUGUGGGUCAAAGACAGCCAUUUUCUCUCCUCCUUUCUUCAUCCCAUCCACCUUCGUUGCUCGCUUCUCUUCUUCCUCUUUUUCUUUAAAUGACUGGUGUUGCAGUGCCUCCGACUUACUGAGACUUAGGGAGGAGGGACGUCCAUUCCAGGCUUUGAGUUUAAACCACAAGCCCUAGUUCAUUCUUCCAGAGAACCUUGAGUGAGGAAUUACGUUCACUAGCCCAGCUAAUCAAAAUGCAGAAUUCUACUUUUGUGUUCCCGGAGCAUGUAACUCUUUUUCGUGGGAACUUGCCUAGGAGGGACGCCUGUAGUUGGACACGGGACCUGCGGGGCCUAUCCUAACAGCAUCUCCUAACAUCCCAGAUACCCCGUGACCGCUGACAUAAGCCCACAGUGGGCAGACCUAAGGCCCUGGCAGGGAGACUACUCCACCUCCAUCCCAAGCAGGACUUGGGUGCAAGUCAAAAGUGGAAUAAAUUCAACUCUGAGAGAACCACCCGGUGCUGGCAUCAGACUCUGCAGGUUUGAGGGCUCGGCUUCCACAAGGGCUCAGACUCACAGUCACACGAACUUCUGACCAGCUCUCUACAAGUUCAGGGGUUCCCUCAGGUCAGUCGUUCACUAGCAGGACUCAUGGCACUCAGGAAAGUGCGCAUUUACAAUCACAGUUUCAUUAUAAAGAAUACACUCAGGGCAAGGCCUGGGAGGGUCCGACAGGGAGCCCCCAGGCCCUCACCCUGCGGAGUCAGGGCCCAGCCCCUCCCGCCACAUCAGUACGUCCGCCAACCAGGAAGCGCCCCCCAGUGUCAGUGUCUGGAGUUUCCAGUGGGGCUUCAUCACAUCUGCACAACUGACUUAAUCACUGGCCACGUGACCAAGGUCAAUAAAGCCCAUCCUGGCUCCCAGUCAACCUUUUAUUUACUAACUCUCCACCUAGUCACUGUAUUGCAGGCUUGUGAACCCAGGAGCACAAUGUGGAACACACAGAAAUGGUUUUUGUCCUUUGGAGACUUAGAGUCUGGUGGAGAAUGUAGGCAAUGAACAAACUGAUGAAUACCUAAAAUUACUAAUUAUGACAAAGGCUCUGCAGAAAACAAUUUGGCCAAACACUUCCAGGACAUGCAACGUGCACGGAAUAGCCAGACUGGACACAUGUGAUAAAAGUAUCUUCACAGUCAAGUCGACCUCACAGCAGCUUCCACAAUUUCAAGCUCGUUUUACCCUCUGAAGCAGCAAAGACUGUACAUAAAUGCUGGCCUUCGCUGUGACCACCCUUUAACACUGGGAACGAUGACCAGACUCUUCUGCCAAAAAAGGUUGGUUCCAGUGUUUUCCACCAUUAUUUGUCAUAAAGAUAAAUGUGUUAGGAUUACAACUCAGCCACGGAGGAGAUACUAGAUCUAGUCUCUCCCAGCUUCGGUUUUCUCACUGGUGGCGUGGGGGGAAUAAUGGAUACUGUGCAGGGCUGUUGUAAGAACCAGAAACCAUGCAACGUGGCACAUAGUACCUACUUCAUCCCUCAGUGUCCUGUUCUCCUUAGAAAUACAAAUGAGUAGCUGUCACACUACUUCUAAAAUGUGACGUCCAGGAUUGGGUACAAGGCUCUAGCCAUGACGUCAAUGGGACAAAACAUCAGGGAAUGAUUUUGUCCUUGGUGUCGGCAGUGUGCCAGGGAGUGACAAAGCUUUGGACAAAUACAACAUUUAUACUCUGGUGAGACACUCCUACCAGCUAAACUGGUGGCCAGCAUCUUAUCUACAAGCAUAUCGUGAAAAAGGGUCAAAGUUUGCUAAAAGUCACUUAUAAAGACAUGGAUGCAAGUGUAUACAUCUGUAGAUCUUGAGCCUGACCGUCAGAAGGGAAAUGUAUUCUGCCCUGUCUACGGAGUUCUGCUCGCAUAGAACACAUUGGUGUCCUUGCAGGAAGAGCAAAAGCACAGACACGGACAGAAGAGGGCCAGGCGAUGCUAGGGGCUGAGAGCAGUGCGGCGCCGCUGUGGC